ACCCAGUUGACGAAUCUCAAAUAGGACGAAACAGGCGUGUCUUGGAU
rfam:Schistosoma haematobium C9983431_1, whole genome shotgun sequence.